rnacentral:rRNA from 1 species
GGAUGAACGCUAGCGGCAGGCCUAAUACAUGCAAGUCGGACGGGAUAGAAGAGCUUGCUUUUCUUGAGAGUGGCGCACGGGUGCGUAACACGUAUGUAACCUACCUUUAUCAGGGGGAUAGCCUCUCGAAAGAGAGAUUAACACCGCAUAAAAUGAUCGGAUAGCAUUAUUUGAUCAUCAAAUAUUUAUAGGAUAAAGAUGGGCAUGCGGGACAUUAGCUAGUUGGCGGGGUAACGGCCCACCAAGGCGACGAUGUCUAGGGGAUCUGAGAGGAUGACCCCCCACACUGGUACUGAGACACGGACCAGACUCCUACGGGAGGCAGCAGUAAGGAAUAUUGGUCAAUGGGCGCAAGCCUGAACCAGCCAUGCCGCGUGCAGGAAGACGGCCCUACGGGUUGUAAACUGCUUUUGUACCGGAAUAAACCUUUGUUCGUGAACAGA